rnacentral:rRNA from 1 species
GAUGAACGCUGGCGGCGUGCCUAAUACAUGCAAGUCGAGCGAACAGACGAGGAGCUUGCUCCUCUGACGUUAGCGGCGGACGGGUGAGUAACACGUGGAUAACCUACCUAUAAGACUGGGAUAACUUCGGGAAACCGGAGCUAAUACCGGAUAAUAUAUUGAACCGCAGGGUUCAAUAGUGAAAUACGGUUUUGCUGUCACUUAUAGAUGGAUCCGCGCCGCAUUAGCUAGUUGGUAAGUUAACGGCUUACCAAGGCGACGAUGCGUAGCCGACCUGAGAGGGUGAUCGGCCACACUGGAACUGAGACACGGUCCAGACUCCUACGGGAGGCAGCAGUAGGGAAUCUUCCGCAAUGGGCGAAAGCCUGACGGAGCAACGCCGCGUGAGUGAUGAAGGUCUUCGGAUCGUAAAACUCUGUUAUUAGGGAAGAACAAAUGUGUAAGUAACUAUGCACGUCUUGACGGUACCUAAUCAGAAAGCCACGGCUAACUACGUG